UCAAGGUAAACCACUAGAUUGG
rnacentral:misc_RNA from 1 species